AUACAGGUACACACAAUUUUGAAAGGAAUGUACAUUGAAGAGGCUUGAAUCCAAUAGGAGGCAGUAAUGCAACAUCAAGGACGCCAACUGCCGUAAAACCCCGAAGAAGAAGAAUUAGACGUAGAAGUAGUUUGGCUGCAGUAGAAUUUCAAGAUGGACGACUUUUGCUACUCAGUAGACCAGAGGAUGGUGAAGGGAUGUCUGAGGGCAUCAGGCCACAGAGUGCAGUGGAUGAGAGCAUUCGAUUCCAUACGCCAUGUAGUGUUGGGUGUAUUGCGAGAGGGACCAACAGUGUUCCAGGCCCCCUGUCACUCAUACACAAGUUGAUCAGAUUCUGUUCCUCCAAAUGACCAAUAACGAGACGCCCAUGGCUCUGGAGUUCUUCCUUGAAGCUGCAAAGAAACAUGUUUCC